rnacentral:rRNA from 1 species
UGAGGAAUAUUGGUCAAUGGGCGGGAGCCUGAACCAGCCAAGCCGCGUGGAGGAAGAAGGUACAGAGUAUCGUAAACUCCUUUUGUCAGGGGAUAAAAGGCGCCACGAGUGGCGUUCUGAAGGUACCUGAAGAAAAAGCAUCGGCUAACUCCGUGCCAGCAGCCGCGGUAAUACGGAGGAUGCGAGCGUUAUCCGGAUUUAUUGGGUUUAAAGGGUGCGUAGGCGGUCUUUUAAGUCAGCGGUGAAAGCCCGGGGCUCAACCCCGGCGAGCGUUGAUACUGGGAGACUGGAGAGGAAGAGAGGCAUGCGGAAUUCGCGGUGUAGCGGUGGAAUGCUUAGAUAUCGCGAAGAACUCCGAUUGCGAAGGCAGCGUGCUGGCUUCUGUCUGACGCUGAGGCACGAAAAGCGUGGGGAUCGAACAGGAUUAGAUACC